CACAGCUGUCCAGAGCAGUUCAAGUCUACAGUGGGGAGGACAUACUGUGUUAGGCUACAAUGCAGAAGCUGCUCUGGCCUCGAGAGUAAAAUAGACUGGCUGGAGGCAACAGAUUGGAAUAUCAGCAAUCCUGAGGUGUCGUGGCUGAAACUAUGCACGUGAGAAAGCAGGAAGAGUGUAUUACACUAAAACAGCCUUAGAGUGAAGUUCUGCUCUGAAGAUAUAUUACAGCAAUAUUCCAGGAAAGUGAGCUGCCAAUAACCAAGGAGGAGGACUUGCUGAUAGGCUGUAUUACUCAAAGCGUGACACAAGUGAAGAAAGGGGCAGCUUCAGUAUAGUUCUAAGAUGAAGCUCAGCAAAUGAACAGAGGAGUGGAAAGCUGCUUUGAUUUGCCCUCUGCCAGGUACCAGGAGGAAAAGCUGGUGCUAAUGUCAAAUCUGUUUGUAUUUUUUUUUUGUUUGUUUGUUUGUUUUUUGUCUAGACAAAAUAUUUGCCACAAAUGGUCAGAUUUGCAUCUGUCAUAAUACAAGCUCUGAAAACUUGAAUGAUUAAAAUGAAUUCCAUUGUGUUCACUAAUGUGGAGAUACACAAUGCUAUAGAAAAACCUUCCUUCAAACAAAACCACAAUUGCAUUGCCUGUCAAGUCUGGUAAUCCUGUAUACAGCCAGACCUGAAGAAGAGCUCUGUGUAAACUCGAUAGCUUGUCUCUCUACUAACAGAAGACGGCCCAAUAAAGAUAUUACUUUA